CGAAUAACUGCUCUAUCAGCCAGUGAUGGCCGUGUAGUGGACUGCCAUGGCGUUGACGGGAGCGGGGGAUUAGGGUUCGAUUCCGGAGAGGGAGCCUGAGAAAUAGCUACCACUUCUACGGAGGGCAGCAGGCGCGCAAAUUGCCCAAUGUCAAAAAAAAACGAUGAGGCAGCGAAAAGAAAUAGAGCCGACGGUGCCUAGUGCAUUGUCGUAUUCAAUGGGGGAUAUUUAAACCCAUCCAAAAUCGAGUAACAAUUGGAGGACAAGUCUGGUGCCAGCACCCGCGGUAAUUCCAGCUCCAAAAGCGUAUAUUAAUGCUGUUGCUGUUAAAGGGUUCGUAG
rnacentral:rRNA from 1 species